GGUGCAGAUCGUUGGACACGGUAAUAUGUACGAUGUGCGUGACCGAAUAGCGAGUGUUGAUUCGAAUAUAAUUACCUACGAUGUUUGACGCAAUACGCAGGGUCAUAUUAUAUUUAUAGGACACUGUGGGAUAUUUUCACCGGGGUAGAUUGACUCACAGAGAAUUCGGCAAUUUUCCCGAUGAAAUGGACACCAUAGGCGCCAUUUCACAUUUGUUUACGGUAUGCAAAACGAAUAUUGAAAAUUCAAUAGUAAAGCCGCUCGCUUUGAUCGCGUACCACAUAAUGGACAAAAUGAAUACAUUUACAUAUAAA